CAGGAUGAACGCUAGCUACAGGCUUAACACAUGCAAGUCGAGGGGAAACGAUAGAAAAAGCUUGCUUUUUCUAGGCGUCGACCGGCGCACGGGUGAGUAACGCGUAUCCAACCUGCCCACCACUUGGGGAUAACCUUGCGAAAGUAAGACUAAUACCCAAUGAUAUCUCUAGAAGACAUCUGAAGGAGAUUAAAGAUUCAUCGGUGAUGGAUGGGGAUGCGUCUGAUUAGCUUGUCGGCGGGGUAACGGCCCACCAAGGCUACGAUCAGUAGGGGUUCUGAGAGGAAGGUCCCCCACAUUGGAACUGAGACACGGUCCAAACUCCUACGGGAGGCAGCAGUGAGGAAUAUUGGUCAAUGGGCGAGAGCCUGAACCAGCCAAGUAGCGUGCAGGAUGACGGCCCUAUGGGUUGUAAACUGCUUUUAUAAGGGAAUAAAGUGGGGGUCGUGACUCCUUUUGCAUGUACCUUAUGAAUAAGGACCGGCUAAUUCCGUGCCAGCAGCCGCGGUAAUACGGAAGGUCCGGGCGUUAUCCGGAUUUAUUGGGUUUAAAGGGAGCGUAGGCCGGAGAUUAAGCGUGUUGUGAAAUGUAGAUGCCCAACAUCUGCACUGCAGCGCGAACUGGUUUCCUUGAGUACGCACAAAGUGGGCGGAAUUCGUGGUGUAGCGGUGAAAUGCUUAGAUAUCACGAAGAACUCCGAUUGCGAAGGCAGCUCACUGGAGCGCAACUGACGCUGAAGCUCGAAAGUGCGGGUAUCGAACAGGAUUAGAUACCCUGGUAGUCCGCACGGUAAACGAUGGAUGCCCGCUGUUGGUCUGAAUAGGUCAGCGGCCAAGCGAAAGCAUUAAGCAUCCCACCUGGGGAGUACGCCGGCAACGGUGAAACUCAAAGGAAUUGACG
rnacentral:rRNA from 1 species